rnacentral:rRNA from 1 species
CGGGUGCGUAACACGUAUGCAACCUACCUAUAACUGGAGGAUAGCUCGGGGAAACUCGAAUUAACCCUCCAUAAGAAUGUGAAGUGGCCUCACUUAGCAUUUAAAACUCCGGUGGUUAUAGAUGGGCAUGCGUCUGAUUAGUUAGUUGGCGGGGUAAAGGCCCACCAAGACGAUGAUCAGUAGGGGAACUGAGAGGUUGAUCCCCCACACUGGCACUGAGAUACGGGCCAG